AAUUCAAGCCAGGGCUUCUAUGCCUGUCCGAGACCCAGGACAUUUCUGUCUUCCAUUCAUUCCUUCACUAAGGAUACCUCUCCCACCCCCACCCCAGUCUGUACUGAGAGUCACAAGUCAUAGGGUUUAGUCACAGGGGACUGAGAGGAGGGAUAACUGUGAAAGACUGUGAGCCCCGGGCAAGUAUUCCCUUGGCAGAUAGACGAGAGAGGAGAACAAUGCGUGGUAGUGGCAGGACUUGAGCCGCCGUGGUGGUCCUGGGCUAUUGACACGAGCCGUCAUGUUGCCUCUAGGUUAUCGACACAAGCCAUCAUGGUGACCCUGGGCUAUUGACAUGAUCCCUCGUGGUGGCAAUGGGCUAUCUAUAUGAGCAGUCAUGGUGGCCCUGGGCUCUCAUAAAGCCUCCCCAGAGGCUCUACCCAACUCUUGUGAGUGAAGAGGGGCUAUCUUAAUUACUUUCCCCUGUUCUUUCCCAUUGCUUACAGUAAUUGUUACUAUAAAACUUAAAGAUUUAUUUAGUCAUGUGUAUAUAUGUGUGUGUGUGUAAGUAUAUGUGUAUGUAUGUAUGCAUGCAUGUAUGUAUUAGUUGCACUUCCCUUGCUGUGAUAAGACACCAAGACCAAGGCAACUUGCAGAACAAAGGGUUUAUUUGGACUUGUGGUUCCAGAGGGAUAGGAGUGCCUGGAAGCAAGCUGUCCGUGGCUGCCAGAGCAGCAAGCUGAGGGAGGGCUCACAUCUUGGAUUGAAAACACUGAACAGAGAGAGCAAACUAGAAAUGGCAUGGGUCCUUAAACUCUAGAAGCCUGCCCCCAGUGAAUGCUUCUUCUAACAAGGCCACAUCUUCUAAAUCUCCCCAAAUAGUUCCACCAACUGGGGACCAUAUGCUCAAAUAGAUGAGACUAUAAGGAACAAUUUCAUUCAAACCACCACAAUUUGUGUUUUGGAGGUUAUGUGCACAGGGGUACAGGUGCCAAGGGAAGCCAGAGAGAGCACGGGAUCUCCAGAAGUUAGAGUUACAGGUAGUUGUAAGCCACCCAAUGUGGGUGUUGAGAAUUGAACUUGAGUCCUUGAAAGAGCAGACAACACUAAGCCACCUCUUCAGUUCCUUAUUACAUUUUUUUCCCCUUGCUUGAUGUAUACCUAAGCCUUGAGAUUGCCAGGUCUACAAUGGCAAGAAGCACACCAGUCCCAGCAGUGCCUGCCUACACAGUUCACUUAACUCAUACUUUAUUCCAAGCAGCCGAAGUGGGUGUCUCCUAAGGAACCCAGGCUACAGAGUCUCCUGUGCAACUCAGGCUGGCCUCCAGCUUGUCAUCCUCCCUACUUCUGAUUCUCAAGUGCUGGGGACACAGGUAUGUACCAUCACACCUGGUCAGAGAUCAUGUGUGUGUGUGUGUGUGUGUGUCUAUCAAUCAAUCAUCUAUCAUAUUGUAUCGUAUCAUAUCGUAUCGUAUCUAUCUAUCUAUCUAUCUAUCUAUCUAUCUACCUACCUACCUACCUACCUAUCACCUAUCUAUAUCUGUCUGUCUAUCAUCUGUCUGUCUGUCAUUUAUCUAAUCUUGAUGAUCAGUUUGAAAAAUGAUAUAACCCAAAAUAGCAGAUGGCUGUGGUAGUUAAUGCUGUCAACUUGACGAGAUCCUUCCAGAAUCAACUGUUUGAGGUUAUUUGGACUAAGUGAGCCUUUGCUAGCAGGCUGUUUGGUGAUCUUGGUUAGGUUAAAUGAGGUGGAAGACUCCUCUAAGGGAGGGUAGCACCAUUUCCCCGCUUUGAGACCCGCACUUCAGGAAAUUGGGAAAGCUGUCUGGGUGUGGGCAUUCAACUCUCUCUUCCUCCUGACUGGACACAGUGACCAGUUUCCCCAAGCUUCCCCACUCAGGACUUUCCCA
rnacentral:lncRNA from 1 species